UAUACAAUAUUUUUCGAUAAUGCUCACAAUUUUUUUCUUAUUAUAUAGUUUUGCAGUUCUUCCUGAGUACAAUUUUACAAUGAAUGGUGUCAUCUGAAGCGGACAUAUUAAACAAAAAUGUCAACAAAUAGCAGAUUGUUCGGUUGUUCUGCAAUAGGGGUAGCCUUGAAGGUGCCAUUAAAACGAUAACUGGGACAAAAAAUGGCUUAGUAUUUCUAUAUAUGAUAUUCUGCAGUAUUCAGUG